CAGGGUCACACUACAGUCAGUACUGCGUCAGUCACAGAGUCACACUACAGUCAGUACUGGGGAGGUCUCAGAGUCACACUACAGUCAGUACUGCGUCAGUCACAGAGUCACACUACAGUCAGUACUGGGGAGGUCUCAGAGUCACACUACAGUCAGUACUGGGGAGGUCUCAG